rnacentral:rRNA from 1 species
UACGGGGGGGGCAAGCGUUUGUUCGGAAUUACUGGGCGUAAAGGGCUCGUAGGUGGCCAACUAAGUCAUACGUGAAAUCCCUCGGCUUAACCGGGGAACUGCGUCUGAUACUGGAUGGCUUGAGGUUGGGAGAGGGAUGCGGAAUUCCUGGUGUAGCGGUGAAAUGCGUAGAUAUCAGGAGGAACACCGGUGGUGUAGACGGCUUACUGGACCACGACUGACACUGAGGCACGAAAGCGUGGGUAGCAAACAGG